UUAGGGUMGUUGYCCUGCUGGAAGGUGAACCUCUGCCCCAGCCUCAAGUCUUUUGCAGACUCCAGGUUCCGGAGUGUUCAGGUUUUCUUCCAAGAUUACCCUGUAUUUGGCUCAAUCCAUCUUACAAUCAACUCUAACAAUCUUCCCUGUCCCUGAAGAAAAGAAGCACCCUCAGAGCAUGACGCUGCCACCACCAUGUUUGUCAGUGGGGAAGUUUGCAACCAGUCCUGGCACAAAAAGUGUUAUCUUAAAUAAAAUAAGGACAUCACUGAACUUCAAGUGGUCUGUCCAGAACAAAGUUCAAGUGAGGUGACAUCAUCAAAAGAGGAGUAUGUUCCUGAUUCCGUAGAUGAUUCAGACAUCUCAUGGGAUGACAGAUGCACUCCACAGAAAUAUGGACUAGUUAUAGUCCAUAUUUCCAUAUUUGGACUUCUUAAUGCACAUAAAUUGUAUAUUUUUUGUAUGUG